GAUGAACGCUAGCGGCAGGCCUAAUACAUGCAAGUCGAACGGUAAAUGUCCCUUCGGGGGCAUGAGAGUGGCGCACGGGUGCGUAACGCGUAUGCAACCUACCCAAUGCUGUCGGAUAGCCCGGAGAAAUCCGGAUUAACCCGUCAUGAGGAGCUUAGGGGGCAUCCCCUUGGUUUCAAAUAUUCAUAGGCGUUGGAUGGGCAUGCGUGCUAUUAGAUAGUUGGCGGGGUAACGGCCCACCAAGUCGACGAUAGCUAGGGGAUCUGAGAGGACGGUCCCCCANACUGGUACUGAGACACGGACCAGACUCCUACGGGAGGCAGCAGUAAGGAUAUUGGUCAAUGGGUCGAGAGACUGAACCAGCCAAGUCGCGUGAGGGAAGACUGCCCUAU
rnacentral:rRNA from 1 species